rnacentral:rRNA from 1 species
UACGGAAGGCAGCAGUGGGGAAUAUUGCACAAUGGGCGAAAGCCUGAUGCAGCUAUGCCGCGUGUAUGAAGAAGGCCUUAGGGUUGUAAAGUACUUUCAUCGGGGAGGAAAAACAAAACUAAUAAUUUUAUUUCUUGACGUUACCCGAAAAAGAAGCACCGGCUAACUCCGUGCCAGCAGCCGCGGUAAUACGGAGGGUGCUAGCGUUAAUCAGAAUUACUGGGCGUAAAGAGCACGUAGGUGGUUUUUUUAAGUUCAGAUGUGAAAUCCCUGGGCUUAACCUAGGAACUGCAUUUUGAAACUGAAAUACUAGAGUAUCGUAGAGGGAGGUAGAAUUCUAGGUGUAGCGGUGAAAUGCGUAGAUAUCUGGAGGAAUACCUGUGGCGAAAGCGGCCUCCUAAACGAAUACUGACACUGAGGGUGCGAAAGCGUGGGGAGCAAACAGGAUUAGAUACC